GCAGACGUGGUGGAAUUGGUAGACACGCUAGAUUUAGGUUCUAGUGAGAGUUUCUCGUGAGAGUUCGAGUCUCUCCGUCUGCAUUA
rnacentral:tRNA from 1 species